GUUGCCAUUGAACGUCAACGUUCUUCGUUACGGAAAACCAACUGCAGCCGGUCACACUGGCCUCAAGAAAACCAGAAAGGGGAGGAGAACAUUUUAAGAACCUUCCAGAAGUCCUGCUUUGGGUUAGCACCAGCCCUUCCAGGACUGGGCCUUAAACUCAGCCUGCAGCGUGGACCAGACGGGGAGAAAAUGUUGACAUCUCCCGGCCCUGUGGCGAUACCGGGGUGAUCAUAGCCUCCUUCGGGGAGAGGCUGGCUGGGGACCCAUGCUGGGGGCUUCUGGAAGCAGAGAAACAGGUGCUCCUGUGUGGAGAUCACUGAGGGGACUUCAGGGACAAAAACACUGGUAGCCGCUUCACAGUUCAUUUUCCCGGAGCACAUGCUCUUUAUGUCUGGCUUUCUGGAAUGAUCCAAGCAGCUGGCUGAUGAGCCCUAUUUCUUUCCGUCGUUACUGCCUGGCUCUCUUAAAGCUCAGACACCACUAAGAAGAUGGGUAAAGAUGGAAAUAUGUAAUUAACACACGGUGCUGGCGAGGGCGUGGGGAACAGGAAAUCCCAGAAGCCACGAGCAGGGAGAAGAUAGAUGGUUACAGCCAAUACGGGGAGGGGGGAUUUGAUGUACCCGCCAAACUAUCCUUUGACUCAGCGACUCCUCCCCCCACCCCAGAUGUUGCCCCUACAGAUGUGAUCCUACAACCUGCAAAUUGCAAAUGUGUAAAGAUGU